UCUACUAAAAAUACAAAAAUUAGCAGGUGUGGUGGCACAUGCUUGAAACCAGGAGGUAGAGGUUGCAGUGAGCCAAGAUAGUGCCACUGCACUCCAGCCUGGGUGACAGAGUGAGACUCUGUCUCAAAAAAGAAGAAGAAGUAGAGCUGGAGGAUGAGUAUCAAAUGCUCAUAUUUGCUACACCGAUGAUACUUGUCCAACCAGGUAUAGAAAUAAAAUGGCUUGACAUAUUAGUCACAAAAGCAUUGCAUGUCAACUGGGAUAUUUAGAGGUAUGCCAGGGAGUACCCCAAGUCCAGGAUAAGCUUAGGAUAUAUUUCAGGAGCACUGGUUUUACUCAAUGGCAAAUAAUACACAUUAUUAUUUAAUGUAGCUUAUUGGUGUAUGUAUUAGGGUUCUCCAGAAUGAAUAGGAGAUAGAUAGGGGAUUUAUCAGGAGAAUUGGCUCCUGUAAUUUUGGAGGCUGAGAAGUUCACACCAGGCCAUCUGCAAGCAGGAGAACUAGGGAAGCCAGUAGCAUGGCCAAGUACAAGUCUGAAGGCCACAGAGCCAGGGAAGCUGAUGGUAUCUUUCAGUUCAAGUGUGAAGUUCUCAAAAUCCAAGGGGAGAGGACCCCAUGUGGGCCUCUCCAAAGGCUGCUUGAGUGUCCUUACAACAUGGUGGCUGGUUUCUCCAGAACAGGUAAUCCAAGUGAGCAAAACAGAAACUGCAGUACCUUUUAUGACUUAGUAUUGGAAGUUUUUUGCAGUUAUCUGCCAAAUUGUUUGUUAGAACCAAGCCAUUAAAUUCAGCUAACUUUGAAGCACAGGAGAAUUAGCUCUACCUUUUGAAGGAUACAAUGUCAAAGGAUUUGUGUAUGUAUUUGGAAGCCAUUAUGUUUACUAUGAACUAGGCACCACUGGGUACUUUGCAAAUGUACCUAGUAUAAUCAUAACCACCCGCUGGGGUAGGUAUUAUUGCCCACAUGGCCGACAUUGUUGUCUUACCCAACAGUUAUUCUUUCUAUUACAGCUCUUUUUGUUCAGGCAUCUGGUGGCAGUGGGCUCAGGGAAGAUCAACCCCUCUGUAGCUCCUGCAGGUGAAUUUUGAUUGGUGGAAAAGCCAAUCAUGGCAAUGCCAUUUCCCCUUGCCAGUGAUUAGUUGGAGGAUGGAUAUAUGAUCAUACCAACAAGAAUUCUGCUAGAUUGGUUCUGGGAAAGGUUUUCCUCACGAAUACAGAGAAACACAUAGGAAGAAAUGCAUUCUUGUUCAGCAAGACUUUGUGUCUGUAUGUGAUGUCUGGAAUUGCAGUUGCCUUGUUGAAACCAUGAAGAGACAAACCUAAGGCCCAAGCCAAUGUGCUAAGGAUGGUGAGUGUAGAGAAGAAAAACCCUCUGUUCUUGAUGAUGUCAUUGAGCCCCUGAAUUAACUAACCCUGGAACUGACCUUUAGUGGCCUUGUUAUGAGAGACAAUAAGCUGCCUUUGUUUGGGUUUUGUGUUACACCUGGAAGCAUCCUAAUGAUUUGAUAUACCCCUUUUUACAGACUAGGAAACAUGUUCAGAGAGAUUAUAGAAUUUGCGAAAUCUUUCCCGGCUAUUAAUAGCAGAGCCGGGUUUCAGACUGAGAUGUCUAUGUUCUAAGCACCUGGUCUUUUAUCAGUUAAGUGACUUUUCUCCAGCAAUUCUCAGGAAUCAGAGAGGAGAAACAGAGACAUCAGUUGGUUUCAGCAGAGGUAGUGAUUGGCGGAUAGGUAUGGGAAGGGUUCAGUGUGGGAAGGAAAGGAGACAAAAUUCACGAUGCUGUAUGUGUAAGGUUGAAAAGCUUGACUGUGAGAUACAGGCUGGUAAGGAGUCAAGUGGAAUCCAGAGGGGGCUGAUAGACUGGAAUAGUGGAGGUGAGCAGUGAAGGUAUAGUUGAGGAAAGAACAGAUUCAGAAAGUUUGAGGGGGAGGGAAAGUGGAAGGAGGUUGUAGGAAGGAACCUUGAGAACUUCAGAGUUCAGAAUAUUAGGAUGUGGGUAUUUGUUCCUAAGGGAGUUUGAUUUGUGGCUGAGCAUGGAGAUGAUGGUAGUCGGAGUGGAGAAGGUCACAGAAUUGAUACCAAAUUUCUGGAUCAUCCACUUUGUGUACAUAUUACCUAGAAAAGUGACAAGCAGUGCAGUAGAGAGGAAGAUUGAAAGCCAGUCUGCUGGAAGUCUGGGUGAAAUAAAAAUGUUUUCUUUAUUUGCGUGGUCUCCAUUCUUCACAUGGAUAGGAUCUGACUCAACACAGCCCCAUGUUGAAGAAAGAAUUAUAAGGAUUAAUCUGUUUUAAUCUGCUGCUUUGUCAAGACUGGAGAGACGAGAUAGAUAGGGUCACUGGGAGGGGCUGAAAGGAGAGAGUCAUGAGAAAUGGAGUUUCCUAGGUCUUUCUGAAACAGUUCUUUGCAGCGGGACCUCACUGUUUUGUUUGAAGUUGCUUCUUGCCUAUUUAUUUAAUCCAUCUGAAUUUAUGAAAACCAACAAAAUAGGCUUAUACAUUGCCCAUUAUUUCAGAUUAUUGUGGUUUCCCUAUUUAUUUAAACAAUUAAAGGCAACUCUGCUGAUCUCUUUGCUGAGACUCUGAAGACUCUGGUGAUCUCUUUGCUGAGCUGUAGAGUAAGAAGAGCUCACUGUCUUCUUAAGCUCUGGGCUACGUUUUUCUUUUCAUUGUUCUGUCCUUUCUUAGAUAAAAUUAUAUUUUUUUUCAAAAAUAAUUUUUGGCAGUGGGUUACAUAGGAAUUUAUUUUUAAAGUACCUUAUUAAUUUUGUUACCUUCAUAGAAUCAUUAGCUAGAAUAUCUGAAUAUAGUUGUCUCUUAUAUUUCUUGGUUCCUGUCCUUAGAGUCAUGUUAAUAGUUUUAGGUCAUAUUCCUGUGAUUUUAUUGUAAGCUAGCUCAAAUCUUUUUUUGGAAAUAGGAUAAAAAUCAAUCUGUACUUUUUUUUUUGACUUGCUCUAUCACCCAGGCUGGAGUACAGUGGCACAAUCACAGGCCAGUGCAACCUCUGCUUCCCGGGCUCAAGCAAUCCUCGUGCCUCAGUCUCCUGAGUAGCUAGAACUACAGGUGUGCGGCACCAUGUCUGGCGAAUUUUUGUAUUUAUAGUAGAGAUGGGGUUUUGCCAUGUUGGCCAGGCUGGUCUUGAACUCCUGGCCUCAAGUGAUCCACCUGCUUUGGUCUCCCAAAGUGCUGGGAUUACAGGUGUGAGUCACUGUCUCUACUUUUAAGAGAAAAAGAAGCAAGGUGCAAAAGGGUACUCACAGGAUGAUCCAUUAGUGUGUUUUUUAAAAGGAUAUGUAUAGAUAGAUCCACUGAUAUACUAUACAUCUCUAUGUACGUGUGUGUGUGUAUAUGUAUAUAUAAAUGCAAACCCACACAUAGAGUGAAUAGAAUAGAUUCUGGGCCCCUUAUGACUCAGUUUCAAAGGAUGUCAUGUUCAGAAGUCAGUAUUCCUCAAAGAACUUAUAGGAAACAUUUGUGUUUUAUAUAGCACAAGUUGAAAUUAGUUUUCCCUUCAUAUUCUUUCUGUCUUCCAUUCUUAUAUUCCGUAGAUACCCCAAAGCCUCUGUCUCUAUUUCUUCCUCUCCUCCUUUCACCAAAACCCUCCCUGAUGUCUCUACCACUGCUGGGCCUUAUCUAUCUCCCUUCCCAUUUUCUUUCUGUUUUCUUCUGCCUAGUGAAUAGUUCUGGGCCUUUUGCAUAUAAAUCUCUCAUCUCAGCUUCCUUGGUUCUUCUCAUAGAACACACCUCCCUCCCAUUUGUUUUAUCUACACAAUAAGACAAUGGAAGGUGGGGGUGUAGCCAGUGGGAAGUGGUCAGGAUGCCAAUAUUGGAAUCUUUUUCUUUGUUAGUAGGCAGGAGGAAGGAAGCUACAAAUACCCCCACAGUAAUAAGUUUUUUCCCUGUUUCACAUGAAGAAUUUCUGAAGGAUUCUGUAAGAAACUGAACAGCAGGCUAUCUGGCGGGAUAGGCCUGUGGGGUCAGAGGCAAGCAUCAUUCACCUGCCAGAGUGAAAGGGAUGCAGAAAGGAUUCCAAGAAUCUAUCAUCUGCAUAUCCCCAUCUGAAGAAACUGAAAAGAGGACUGUAACUAAAUAACAAAUUAAUGAGAAUAGAGACUUCAAGAAAUGAGAAGGUAAAGUAGAAAGGGAAGAUGAUGAGUGAACAAUAAGCCUUGUAAUAUACAUGGGUAUGUAUCUUAAUGUACUUGGAUGAUGAUGAAAUGACUGAAAAUGUGUACUAUACGUGUUAAAUAAAGACUCUUAAGAUAAAU
rnacentral:lncRNA from 10 species